AGUGAACGCUGGCGGUAGGCCUAACACAUGCAAGUCGAACGGCAGCACAGUAAGAGCUUGCUCUUACGGGUGGCGAGUGGCGGACGGGUGAGGAAUACAUCGGAAUCUACUUUUUCGUGGGGGAUAACGUAGGGAAACUUACGCUAAUACCGCAUACGACCUACGGGUGAAAGCAGGGAUCUUCGGACCUUGCGCGAUUGAAUGAGCCGAUGUCGGAUUAGCUAGUUGGCGGGGUAAAGGCCCACCAAGGCGACGACCCGUAGCUGGUCUGAGAGGAUGAUCAGCCACACUGGAACUGAGACACGGUCCAGACUCCUACGGGAGGCAGCAGUGGGGAAUAUUGGACAAUGGGCGCAAGCCUGAUCCAGCCAUACCGCGUGGGUGAAGAAGGCCUUCGGGUUGUAAAGCCCUUUUGUUGGGAAAGAAAAGCAGCAGGUUAAUACCCCGCUGUUCUGACGGUACCCAAAGAAUAAGCACCGGCUAACUUCGUG
rnacentral:rRNA from 1 species